CGUCGCUUGGAGGCUGGGCGCGGGCGGGUUUCCUCUUUCCCGUGAGACCCUGGGUUUCUGCUGCACAAUCGGAAUCACUCGCCCACGCUCCGGGAGGGCAGCGAGGGCGUGGGCGGCCCAUGCGCAUCCACCGCUCUUUGACCCUAUCCCACGCCAGCUUGUGCGGCUGCGGAGCGGGCACAUCCCUGGACUGAGAGCGCCUUGAGGAAAAGGGCCGCCCUUCUGUUUCUGCGAUUAAUGAUGCCUGUGAACGGAAUCUGCCGUAUCAAUGGACAUUUUUGUGUUUAAAAGGAGAACGCAUCUUUAUUGAGCUCCAGCUGUGACUCAAGCACUUACAACAAAUCCUGUGAAGUGAUGUUACAGCAGAUUCUAGGAAAUGAAAACCCCAAGACUCAGAUGUGCAAGUUGUCUUUGUUCGGGGUCCCACAGCUGCUGAGUAGAAGGAGUAGAAGAUGAGGGGCUGCCUCCGAUGAGACCCGUCUGACUUAACUGGUUCCCCAAAUGCUGCUGAUAAAACCCAGCAGUACUGGCUGUGCUAAUUUUCUAGCUCAGGCAGCUGGACUUUUUUCUCUUCCUCAUUGGUUUCCUCUUUUAGAAUAUUGGUCUCUAGGCUACUCUGUGCCUCAGACUAUACACAGCUAGAACUUUUGUGAGGUUUGUUAUCAUUGGUAGCAAAUAUGUGUUGAGAGCUAGCUUCCAUGUCAGGUGCUGUGUUGAGCACUUUACUGGACUUGAGCCCUUUUAUUCUCCCAGCUCUGCUGGGAAGCAGAUGUCAUCAUUGUCUGCUUCUUCUUCCACUGCCUUGUUGAAUGAACAAAUAAAGGUUAUUCCCUUACAA